rnacentral:sRNA from 1 species
UAGUGACACACCGCUAUCAGAUAGAUGGGAACUCACGACAUCAGCACCAGAGUUUUAUACAAGACAAUACACAUCAAGGGAAGAACGAUUGAAUCCGUUAAAGAGGAAAAUGGACGUUGAAAUGUGAGCCAGAUAAUGUGGAAUCGCAGAACACAGCUACGUGCAAUAGUCGACCAUUACGACAGCCACCCCUUACAAAUUAUUUGAAAAAGAGGAAGAGAGCGGACAACUCGCUGACACCAAAACAAAUUCGGCUGUAGAUCCAGAAUUGGGUUUUUAAUACUUUCUAGUGCUAGAAACGGGAAUCUUCAAUGGAGGGAGGUCCUUUUCUCAUGCCGAGUCUAGAGGACUAAUUGCGAGGCCAGCAGGAUAAACAUGCCAAAGAGCGCCCAUUUCUUGCCAAAAUUUUCAACAUCUCCGCUAUUUUGCAUUGCGUUUGGAACCGUUUUUGUGCGGUCCCCUGAAACAGACAAGAAAUCCUGCUUAUUUCUCACCCCCCUUCAAGUGCCAGUGAAAAGAUCCGUUUCCUCAAAGAUAUUGACAGAAUAAGACUGUGUGCUCCCCUGGGGUAAAUAACCCCUAUUGGGGUAAACUGUGAAUCCUCUGGGGAGAGAAUUUAUAUAUCUAUACAUAUUUAUGUGCAAUGAACUAUUUCACAAUGACAACGUCAUUGUAAAACAUGAUCUCAUCUAUUAUUUAUUUUUUUUAUUAUGUGUCGGUUCUUUCGAAGUAAAAUACAUUAUUUGUAAAUGUCCUAUUUAUUUAUAUAAGAAAAAAGCAAAGAGAAAGAAAUUACACCUAUGAGAAAUUUAUGUUUUGCUUCAAAGUGAGACAUCUUUCUAUAUAGUAAUAUUUAUAUUCAGAUAUCCUUAUCAAAACGAAAAUUGUGUGUUUUUUGCUAUAUUUAUUUUUGUUUGUGGUAUGAAAUACCAGUGUGUAAAGAAAAAAAUAUUUGAUGGAAAAAAACUUCAAAAAACGUCAAAAGGGAAGAAAACAAGUUUCUCUCAACGUAAGCCCCAUAUUUAAACUGAAAUCACAAAUCUUAAAAGAAAAUCCAUAAAAAAUGAUCUCAAUUUUCUCUCUUUAAUGUGACUACAUUUCACUGAAUUGACAUCCAAAGUGUUCAUUUUGAGUGUGCAUGGAGAUAUUUGAUGUUUGCAACCAAGUUAAUUGUUCUGUAGUAUACGUGUGUGUGCUUUCAUCUGUAAUUUUGGUGUUCAUCAAAUAGAGUAUAUAAGAAAACCCGCAGAAAAAAGUUGUUGAGAAACUUAUUGUUGUAUAAAAAAGUAAUAAAUAAAAGCUCUAAAGAAGGAAUUU